GCCUGCCCAGUGACCAUGAGUUCAACGGCCGCGGUAUUCUGACCGCGCGAAGGUAGCGUAAUCACUUGUUUUUUAAAUAAAGACUAGUAUGAACGGCCACACGAGGACUUAACUGUCUCCUUUGUCCAAUCAGUGAAACUGAUCUCCUCGUGCAGAAGCGAAGAUGUUCCCAUAAGACGAGAAGACCCUAUGGAGCUUUAAACUUUAUAUCAAUUAUCUUCUUUAUCCCUCUAAGGAACUAACACCCAACUAAAUUCCCUUGAUAAAAGUUUUGGGUUGGGGCGACCAUGGAGAAAAAGAAAUCCUCCCUGAUGACAACCUAACCAAGAGCCACAGCUCUAAGUAUUAAGACACUUAACUCCUAUUGACCCAUUUUAUGAUCAACGAACCAAGUUACCCUAGGGAUAACAGCGCAAUCCAUUUCAAGAGUUCCUAUCGACAAAUGGGUUUACGACCUCGAUGUUGGAUCAGGGCAUCCAAGUGGUGCAACCGCUACUAAAGGUUCGUUUGUUCAACGAUUAAAGCCCU
rnacentral:rRNA from 1 species